rnacentral:rRNA from 1 species
UACGGAGGGGGCUAGCGUUGUUCGGAAUUACUGGGCGUAAAGCGCACGUAGGCGGAUCGGAAAGUUGGGGGUGAAAUCCCGGGGCUCAACCCCGGAACUGCCUUCAAAACUAUCGGUCUUGAGUUCGAGAGAGGUGAGUGGAAUUCCGAGUGUAGAGGUGAAAUUCGUAGAUAUUCGGAGGAACACCAGUGGCGAAGGCGGCUCACUGGCUCGAUACUGACGCUGAGGUGCGAAAGCGUGGGGAGCAAACAGG